AUGCGUUUUGGCAGCGGCACAAAGCUUACAGUAAUAGGCAAGAAUGAGGAAAUCAUACCUCCAGCCGUGGCCAUCUUUUCCCCAUCAAAGCAGGAGAUCCAGCAGAAGAGCAAGGCCACGCUGGUGUGCCUGGCCUCUGGUUUCUACCCUGACCACCUGACUCUGGUCUGGAGGGUGAAUGGUGUGAAAAGGACCGAAGGGGUGGGGACAGACGAGUCCUCCACACAGAAUGGGAGCACCUACUCGCUGACCAGCCGACUGAGGAUGCCAGCCUGGGAGUGGUUCAACCCUCUGAAUCGCUUUGAGUGUGUUGCCAAUUUUUUUCAGAAUGGAACAACAGCCUCAAUAAACAAAUUUAUCCAUGGUGAUGCUGGUUGUGCACUCACAGAAGAAUCGUACUUGCGGUAUGGAAAUUCCCUGAAGCUCACUUACCUCAUCCUCUGUGGCAAAGCCUUGGUCUAUAGGAUAUUUGUGAUGGGGUUGAUGCUUAGGUCCAAGGAGAGAAGCAGAAUUCUGCUCUGCACUCAUUUGUUAUCACUCCUUCUAGCCACACAGGAGACCACUUUGGAGAAAGUGAUGUCUUCAGGGUGA